rnacentral:lncRNA from 1 species
CUGAAAUCUGGCAUGUAGGACAAAGCAGCUGGAAAAUUUCACAGUUUGACAUAUCAUUGUUGGUAGUUGAAGAGAACUCUGGUAUUCUUUGUUUCAUUUUAGUAUUAGUGGCAUGGAGAAUGGAAAAGAAAGAGAAACGGAACCUCUUACCCCAGAGCUAUAUAAUGCCUCAUAUUCCCUCUUCCUUCAAAGAAAAGAGGCAAUAAAGAAGUGUUUCUUAUCUUGCUCCCAUUUUGAAAAUAGCCUUCCUGGCGUUGUGCACGAACCUGCGACCCAGCUUCUUGGCAUACCAGAUAGAGGCAAACAUAGCGAUGCCAGUGGAAGGGAUGCACAAUGAAGCUGCUGCACAAUCAACUUCCCACCUCGGCUCAGAGACGAAUGGAUCCGGCUGGAGCUGUCACUUGCA